ensembl:lncRNA
AUGAAAAGACUCUCGGUUCAGGCACGGACACCCAGUUUUGGCCCCACCCCCUCCUCCCGCCUCUGUCUAGCUUGGCUAGCGUCCGCGGCGCCGGUGGGUGUGCACGCUGUGAAAACUGGGAGGAAAGACAAGGCCCAACUCCCCGCGCGGCGGCGCGGGCCGGCGAUCCCUCCGCUUCCUGCAUCCGCCACGGCGCGCGCUCCCACCGCUCCCUCCCCCCGCGCUCGGGUUACAGCUGCGCAGGCUCCCGAGUGCGUGGCCUGGCGUCGGCUCCGGGAGCGCUCCGUGUUCGGCCGGGAAUCUGGACUGCGAGCAUCCCAGGAGGCGCGGGCCGGGGGCCUACCGCGCCGCCCCGGAACGUGCUGCCGCUGCCUGCUGAGCCGCCCCGGCCUCGGAGGCCUGCCCUGGAUGCGGAGACGCCCCCGGGAAACUUUAGGGGAAAACUUUGCCAACUUCGCUGUCGGAGCGGGAGAGGCUGCCCGCCUGAAUGGCCGCGGCGACCACGGGCUGCGACGCGCGGGGCGGGCCCCGGGCCUGGCCAGGGCGCCCGGGAGCGGACCCGUGAGGCCGGCCGGCGGGCACCGGGCUCUUCGCGCCUCGCCUCCGCACCGCCUGGACUCAGCCCGCUGCCCUGGGUCUCCGAGGGACUCCUUGGUGCGCAGCGCCCCGGGUUCUCCUCCUCGGGCGUCUCCUCUCUUCGGGCCCCUCUCCGGCAUCCGUGCCUCCCCGGCGCCCCCUCCUCAUCCAUCUUGGGAGAGGAACAUGUCGCCUUAUUGGAUGUCCAGGCCAGAGCCCGGUGAUGCGGCCCGGCCAGCGCUGCGCAUUUUCUUCUUGCAUACUGAGGAGAUGGUAAUGAGCGCGUUUGCAUUGUUGCAUGGAAAUCCUGCGUUUCCUGCAGCAGCUCGGGAGUUGGGUGAGGGGGGUGUGCAGGCACAGUGGGCACCCGGCUGGCAGCCGCAGCUGACCCUCAACGGAUUCGCGGGCACUCGGGUCCUGGUUUGGGGGAGGAAGUGA